GCUGUCAGCUGGAAAGCAGAUGGAAGCUCACUUCAGUCCACCCGUUUUGCUUCACCAUGUGUUGUUUUGUUGUUUAUUUUUUUUCUAUUUCAUCUCUCUGUUGUUUUCAAGAAGUGAUUUCUCUGCGUUGGUAUUUGAAAUGAUGUGAAAGUCUCUGUGUGGGAAGCUGCGUGUCAGAGUGACCCAGGGAACUUGCCCAGUUUUCUGGGCAGUGAUGGAGAGGCCAUCUGGAGGUAGUUUGAGCCAGGCUGUGACCAGCCCUUCCUCCAUAUAAGGAAAUCUUUGCAGGAGGUAGAGCCAACCAGAAAAUGCUACCUCCUGCAGAGGAGAUGGGUAGGGAAGUGGGGUGAGGGAAGUUGUGGAGUAUCAACACUGGUAUGGAAAGUGUGCAUUAAAGUAAUAUAAACAGUAAUAUAAAUACAAGCUGGGAAUCAAUACAACUGCCAGUGUUGCCAGUUAAGUGGUUCUGCAGAAGAGGAGGAUGGGAGUGGUGUCAAAGGGGCACAGGCUUGGGGGAGCGGCAGUGCUAGAGCAGGGUGCUCUGAGGGGUGGAGGAAAGGUUGGCCAUACCACAGUCAUUCUUCACUCCCUAGUGUAUAGGUGGCAAGCAAGCUCUAUCUGUACACAACUGGAAGAACUGGCAGCUUAAUAACACAGAAGUAACCAUUUAUGUCUCCUCUUUGUCUUCCUGUUCGGCUUUUGACAACACAGUUUAAGGCAGCAAGAUAGACAGGGCAAGGUGCAAGCUAUGGGAGGAGACUGAGCAUACCUUGCCAAGUUGCAUGGUAAAGGAUAUCAGGUGUCUCCUGGGAAAAAUCACUUUCUAGAGAAUAUGCAGUACUUUUUUUAGGUGAGUUAGCUUGUGAUUUGAAUGUAAACUUCUCCAUUGCUUAUAUUCAGAGUGAAAAAAAUUACAGUUUACAUCAAAAAGCUUCUGUUCAUAAGUAACUUCUGUUUCAGAAAAAUUUAGGAAACAAAGCUACAGAACAUAGAAAUGAAAUUUAAAUAAAAUACAUUUUUUAAAAAACUGACUAACUUGGCUUUUGCUUUGUAACUAAUGUGAAUGUUGGCAUAAUUCUACUUCUCAGAGAACUGCUGAAGUCAUUUAUGUGCC
rnacentral:lncRNA from 1 species